UACGUAGGUGGCAAGCGUUGUCCGGAUUUACUGGGCGUAAAGAGCGCGCAGGCGGUCUUGUAAGUCGAAUGUGAAAGCCCCUGGCUCAACCGGGGAGGGUCAUUCGAUACUGCUCGACUCGAAGGCAGGAGAGGGAAGCGGAAUUCCCGGUGUAGUGGUGAAAUGCGUAGAUAUCGGGAGGAACACCAGUGGCGAAGGCGGCUUUCUGGCCUGUUCUUGACGCUGAGGCGCGAAAGCUAGGGGAGCAAACGGG
rnacentral:rRNA from 2 species